GUAUGGCUGUUCGCCAUUUAAAGUGGUACGCGAGCUGGGUUUAGAACGUCGUGAGACAGUUCGGUCCCUAUCUGCCGUGGGCGCUGGAGAACUGAGGGGGGCUGCUCCUAGUACGAGAGGACCGGAGUGGACGCAUCACUGGUGUUCGGGUUGUCAUGCCAAUGGCACUGCCCGGUAGCUAAAUGCGGAAGAGAUAAGUGCUGAAAGCAUCUAAGCACGAAACUUGCCCCGAGAUGAGUUCUCCCUGACUCCUUGAGAGUCCUGAAGGAACGUUGAAGACGACGACGUUGAUAGGCCGGGUGUGUAAGCGCAGCGAUGCGUUGAGCUAACCGGUACUAAUGAACCGUGAGGCUUAACCUUACAACGCCGAAG
rnacentral:rRNA from 1 species